GCUGCCUUAGCUCAGCUGGUAGAGCAACUGACUUGUAAUCAGUAGGUCGUGGGUUCGAGGCCUACAGGCAGCA
rnacentral:tRNA from 2 species